AUGCAGCAAACUGGUGAUGUCGGCAAGGGACGGCGAGAUGCGCCCUUCAAGUCCUCUAGAUGCCAGGGAGACCUCAGUGACGGCCCCAUCUCCAUUGCAAGUGAUGCCUUCCCACUCGCAGCAGUCUGUCUCAUGGUGCCACGAUGCGGUGAGGGCGCCAUCUCCCAAUAUCCCAGCGAGGAACUGGAGAAGUGCAUGCUUCUCCUGCUCGGCGCAUGA
rnacentral:rRNA from 1 species